UACAGAGGGUGCGAGCGUUGUUCGGAAUUAUUGGGCGUAAAGCGCUUGUAGGCGGCAUGUCAAGUCGCGUGUGAAAUCCCCAGGCUUAACCUGGGAAGUGCGCGCGAAACUGACGAGCUUGAGUGCCGGAGAGGGUCGCGGAAUUCCCGGUGUAGAGGUGAAAUUCGUAGAUAUCGGGAGGAACACCAGUGGCGAAGGCGGCGACCUGGACGGACACUGACGCUGAGGAGCGAAAGCGUGGGGAGCGAACAGG
rnacentral:rRNA from 1 species